rnacentral:rRNA from 1 species
ACAAGCGGUGGAGCAUGUGGUUUAAUUCGACGCAACGCGAAGAACCUUACCAGGGCUUGACAUCCCCUGACCGCGUAUGAAAGUACGUUUUCACCCUCGGGUGACAGGGAGACAGGUGGUGCAUGGUUGUCGUCAGCUCGUGUCGUGAGAUGUUGGGUUAAGUCCCGCAACGAGCGCAACCCCUACGUUUAGUUGCUAACGCGUGAAGGCGAGCACUCUAGACGAACUGCCGUUGACAAAACGGAGGAAGGUGGGGAUGACGUCAAAUCAUCAUGCCCCUUAUGUUCUGGGCUACACACGUGCUACAAUGGCCGGUACAGACGGACGCAAAGCCGCGAGGUGGAGCAAAUCCUAAAAAAGCCGGUCUCAGUUCGGAUUGCAGGCUGCAAUUCGCCUGCAUGAAGUCGGAAUCGCUAGUAAUCGCAGGUCAGCAUACUGCGGUCGAAUACGUUCCCGGGCCUU